AAGGAAGGUAAUCAAAUUCAAGGAAGGUAAUGCAGGAAUUGUUUUAUCAAUAAACUCCUAUCACCUAAUGCAACAAGCAAGUGAUAACGAUCUUUAAAUCACAAGGAGGUGGCAAAUGCACCAGGGCUUGCCUUCGUUUAUAGGUGAGUCAGGCUCGGAUCCGCAGAUGUCAAAGUAAAAACAAUGGAAGAAUUGGCUGUGUACCAUUAGAAGAACACAUGUUUGGCAAUGUACCAUUAAAAGAUUUCUUCUUUGCUUUGUACCACUGAAAGGUUACAACGUUGAAGGUUUAUAGCAUUCCGUCACCUUCGUUAGGGAAUACUAACGGUUUUAUUUUUCUUUGCCUAAAAAUGAGUUAUGAAAUGGCUCUUUUGCCCCUUGCCUUAGUAAACUAGUAAGCCUGCUCGUUCUCAACCUCACGUACGCUCCCAGCCCAGGAGUCCGCUCCUCCCAGGCACAAGCAAAGCAGCCGCUCGCGGAGCUUCCCGGCGACCCUCCCGACAGUGUGCUCUCUGCUAGUGGCUCCAGCUCCUUCGCCCACUCCUUCACUCCAUGUGCUCAUUAAUCUGAAAUUGGUUGGGGAUUUGAGCUGGGAUGGAUCCUGCUUGUGUUUCAGAAGGGGAUAAUUCAAAGAACCUGCAUAAAAUAGAUGUUACCGUCAACUCUUAUUUCGCCGUUCUUGAUGGUAAAAAGGUGUACAAUCGGGCCAAAUCCGAAGCUUAUGAAAACUCCACAAAAGGUGCUGAGCCAUCAAACAUUGAUGUUGAUCCAAAACUAACUUCAAGCCUAGGUGUUAUGACAAGAAGGAUGGCGUCCCUCUCUCCGGCAAGAGCAAGUCUAUGUGUUACCACAAGGAGGAUGGCGUCCCUGUCUCCAACCAGUCCGGGUGUGACAACAAGAAGGAUGGCAUUUAUCUCACCUGGAGGAAUCAACCGCAGGCUUAUCAUUGAUUAGUUGUAUUAGUGCAAUGUUAGCAUGUACUGUAACUUAGUUUAUGGCAUGCUCCAUGGCUAGCUUUUGGGCAUUUGUCUAGUUACCAUGUGAACUAGGGUCUCUGUGAACUAUGAACAGCUUGUAGUCUUAUGCCAAGUCGUUAUGCACGGACAAAAUUAGUAUUAUAUCAUAUUUUAAUGUGUUUA